AACGCUAGCUACAGGCUUAACACAUGCAAGUCGAGGGGCAGCGCAGUGUAGCAAUACACGGGCGGCGACCGGCGCACGGGUGCGUAACGCGUAUCCAACCUUCCCGUUACUCUUGGAUAGCCUUCCGAAAGGGAGAUUAAUACAAGAUGGUAUUCAAAUUCCGCAUGUUAUUUGAAUUAAAGAUUUAUCGGUAACGGAUGGGGAUGCGUGACAUUAGAUAGUAGGCGGGGUAACGGCCCACCUAGUCUACGAUGUCUAGGGGUUCUGAGAGGAAGGUCCCCCACACUGGAACUGAGACACGGUCCAGACUCCCACGGGAGGCAGCAGUGAGGAAUAUUGGUCAAUGGUCGGAAGACUGAACCAGCCAAGUAGCGUGAAGGAUGAAGGUUCUAUGGAUUGUAAACUUCUUUUAUACGGGAAUAAAACCUCCCACGUGUGGGAGCUUGUAUGUACCGUAUGAAUAAGCAUCGGCUAACUCCGUGCCAGCAGCCGCGGUAAUACGGAGGAUGCGAGCGUUAUCCGGAUUUAUUGGGUUUAAAGGGAGCGUAGACGGGAUGUUAAGUCAGUUGUGAAAGGCUGCGGCUCAACCGCAGCACUGCAGUUGAUACUGGCGUCCUUGAGUGCGGUUGAGGUAUGUGGAAUUCGUGGUGUAGCGGUGAAAUGCUUAGAUAUCACGAAGAACUCCGAUUG
rnacentral:rRNA from 1 species